ensembl:snRNA U6 U6 spliceosomal RNA
AUCUCGAUUCAGCGGCACAUACACUGAAAUUGGAACAAUACAGAGAUGAUUAGCGUGGCGCUGAGCAAGGAUGACACGUGAAUUUGUGAAGCGUUUCAUAUUUUU